GCCAGGCACAGUGGCUCACACCUAUAGUUCGUUAUUUGGAAAUCCGAGGCAGGUGGAUCACUUGAGUCCAGGAGUUCUGGAUUAUGCCAAUCAGGUGUCUGCACUAAGUUUGCCAUCAAUAUGGUGACUUCCCAGGAGCUGGGAACCACCAGGUUGCCUAAGGAGAGGGGAGCCAGCCCAGGUCAGAAACAGAGCAGGUCAAAACUCCCAUGCUGAUCAGUAGUGGGAUUGCACCUGUGAAUAGCCACUGUACUCCGGCCAGUACAACAUAGCAAGACCUUGUCUUA
ensembl:misc_RNA Metazoa_SRP Metazoan signal recognition particle RNA